GAGGAUGCAGCACUCAAGGCACCACCUUGGGAGCAGAGAUCAGGCCCUCACCAGACACCAAACUUGUUGGUGCCUUGAUCUUUGACUUCCCAGCCUCCAGAACUGUGAAUUCCUGUAACACAAUCUUCACUUAUGUUUUUAUUAACACGUAAAACAUCUUUACCUCCACUGUCUUCUCUUCAUAAAAAGAUAAACACUACAGAUUGCUACAGAUGAAUGCUACUGACAUGCUAAAGACUAUAUGACAAUUCCUUUUAAAGUCAGACACUCAAUUGUGAAAGAUGUGUGAACAAUCCAAUGAUGGAUGUCCGUUAGUUCAGUGCUGUCAAGCUGAGUUACUACUCCACAUCUCUGAUACUGAUGCUGUUUUUGCAGUCAUGAUUGAGUCGUUGAAGAAAAAAGCACUCUACAGAGUUCUGCCCAACUGUGUCCAAACAAGCAGCAACUUGAAAUAUCAUUGGCUUACUCAGCAGCAUCAGAACCCACAAAGCAAAGAGGUUAGAUCCAUCCAAGAGACUUUUCUGCAGCAGUAAAUGGAUUUGCCCUCUUUAGAGCAGGGAGCACAGCUCCAACACAAUUAUUCUUAUUGGAACAGACUAAGGAAUUUACUUCAAAUGAGGUUGUUGGUUGUCCUGUGAAAGCUGUGUCAGAAUAAAUAUUCAACUGCUCUUUGGAGGCAUAAUUU
rnacentral:lncRNA from 10 species